rnacentral:rRNA from 1 species
GAUGAACGCUGGCGGCGUGCCUAACACAUGCAAGUCGAACGCAUUUUCUUUCACCGUAGCUUGCUACACCGAGAGAAAAUGAGUGGCGAACGGGUGAGUAACACGUGGGUAACUUGCCCAUCAGCGGGGGAUAAAAAUUGAAAACAGGAGCUAAUACCGCAUAAUUCCAUUUACCGCAUGGUAGCUAGAUGAAAGGCGCUUUUGAGUCACUGAUGGAUGGACCCGCGGUGCGUUAGAUAGUUGGUGGGGUAACGGCCUACCAAGGUUGCGAUGCAGAGUCGACCUGGGGGGGUGAUCGGCCACACUGGGACUGGGACACGGCCCAGACUCCUACGGGAGGCAGCAGUAGGGAAUCUUCGGCAAUGGACGCAAGUCUUACCGAGCAACGCCGCGUUAGUGAAGAAGGUUUUCGGAUCGUAAAACUCUGUUGCUAGGGAAGGACAAGGAUGAGGGUGGAAAGUUCAUCCCUUGACGGUAUCUAACCAGAAAGCCACGGCUAACUACGUG